AUUAAUUAAGCAUUUAUUAAGGAUCUACUGUGUACCAGGUUAUGUUCAGAAUGAAUUCCCUCUCCAUCUCCAUUUCUUGGACAUCCUUAUCUUCUUUCAAGACUCAAUUCAGAUGCCACCUCUUCCAUGAAGCCUUCUCUGAUGCUCUUCUUUGUCAAAUGACGAUCUGGCCACCCUGCUGUCCUGCUCAAAGAAACCUUUUGUGACUCUCGAUUAUGUGCAGACACUUCCACUUAUAAUUGAGGCAGUCAAAGGCACACAACUUCACCCUUUCAGCUUUAUGUCCUAUUAUACUCUUUCAAGCCUCUCUAGGCCCCAAACAAUGCUGCUGUUUUUGUUCCUCAAACACACUUUUUUUUGUUCUCUUGCUGCCAAGUCCUUGAUCAGGCUAUUCCCUAGGGCUAGAAUGUGUUGUCUCCAGGUUUGUCAGCUGAAUUACUACCUAUCCUUUAAAACUCAAAUUAAA